AUAUGUACUUUUUUUUAUUUGUACAAGUACGUUUGUUAUAUGCAUAGUUAGGAACUUUUGAUAGAUACUGAAAUGGGAAUGCCUUCCAGAAAGAAAAAAAACGCAUUCUUGAGAGUGUUUGGCACCAUGUCAGUACCCAAUGUAGUUUUGUAAGGUGGCUACCACAUGUCAUGUAUUGAUUAGCUGUCUUCUAAGCAUCCAAAAACUAACCCACAUUAGGUGAUUAUUACAUAUCAUUAUAUGUCUUAUUUCACUUAUCAUAUAGAAAUUCACACAUUAUUAAUCAAUAUUUUUUUACUAAUUUCUAAUAAGGAAAUUAGGAAAACAGAUUUGCGUCCACUAUAACAUCCACGUAAACUUCGAAGAAGCUUUUGUUGAAAUGUUUCCGCAACUGUAGACUAAUUUCAUAACCAUUGAAAAACUCUAUAAAAUUCAUGAAUUAAUAAUUACGUUUAGAGACUGUUGUGAGACCCUACCGCGUG